rnacentral:rRNA from 1 species
UAGGGAAUCUUCCACAAUGGACGCAAGUCUGAUGGAGCAACGCCGCGUGAGUGAAGAAGGUCUUCGGAUCGUAAAGCUCUGUUGUAAGAGAAGAACGUGUGUGAGAGUGGAAAGUUCACACAGUGACGGUAACUUACCAGAAAGGGACGGCUAACUACGCGCCAG